rnacentral:tRNA from 1 species
GGGCUGUUGGAGUAGCGGUCAACUCGCCUGACUCUCGAUCAGGAGACCACGGGUUCGAAUCCCGUACGGCCUAC